rnacentral:rRNA from 1 species
UGUAAGAGAGUAGGGCGGAGCACGAGAAAUUCUGUCUGAAGAUAGGUCGACCACGAUCUAAGGCUAAGUACUACUGAUUGACCGAUAGUGAACCAGUACCGUGAGGGAAAGGUGAAAAGCACCCCGACAAGGGGAGUGAAAGAGAACCUGAAACCGGAUGCCUACAAGCAGUCGGAGGGGCAUUAAGCCCUGACGGCGUACCUUUUGUAUAAUGGGUCAGCGAGUUAGUUUAUGUAGCAAGCAUAAGCCGAUAGGUGGAUGCGUAGCGAAAGCGAGUGUUAAUAGCGCGUUAAGUUACAUGAAUUAGACCCGAAACCGAGUGAUCUAGCCAUGAACAGGUUGAAGGUUGGGUAACACCAACUGGAGGACCGAACCCACUCCCGUUGAAAAGGUAGGGGAUGAUUUGUGGCUAGGGGUGAAAGGCCAAUCAAACUCGGAAAUAGCUGGUUCUCCGCGAAAACUAUUUAGGUAGUGCGGUAGGCGAACACCAUGAGGGGUAGAGCACUGAAAGAGCUAAGGGGGAGCGAUCCUUACUAAACUUUAUCAAACUCCGAAUACUCAUGAGUGAUACUUACCAGACAGACAGUAGGUGCUAAGGUCUAUUGUCGAGAGGGAAAGAGCCCAGACCGUCAACUAAGGUCCCUAAAUUAUGGCUAAGUGGUAAAGGAAGUGGGAUAUCCAAAACAGUCAGGAGGUUGGCUUAGAAGCAGCCAUCCUUUAAAGAAAGCGUAAUAGCUCACUGAUCUAAAUAAGACGUCCUGCGCCGAAGAUGUAACGGGGCUAAAGCCAUAUACCGAAGUUACGGGAUUGUAUUGCAAUAGAUACAAUCGGUAGCGGAGCGUUCUGUAGGCCUGCGAAGGUAAACCGUAAGGUUUGCUGGAGGUAUCAGAAGUGAGAAUGCUGACAUGAGUAGCGAAAAGAAGAGUGAGAGACUCUUCCGCUGAAAGUCCAAGGUUUCCUGCGUAAAGCUAAUCUGCGCAGGGUUAGUCGGCCCCUAAGGCGAGGCAGAGAUGCGUAGCUGAUGGGAACACGGUUAAUAUUCCGUGACCAGUUAGGAAGUGACGGAUACAGUAGUUUGUACAUGCUUAAUGGAUUGUGUGUGCAAGUGAUGUGUCCCGGGAAAUAGCCCUAACGAAGACCGUACCCGAAACCGACACAGGUGGACAGGUAGAGUAUACCAAAGCGCUUGAGAGAACUAUGUUGAAGGAACUAGGCAAAAUGCUUGUGUAACUUCGGGAUAAGCAAGCCCGGUUUUAAGGCAACUUAAGGCCGGGGGCACAUACUAGGGGGUAGCGACUGUUUAACAAAAACACAGGACUCUGCGAAAUUGAAAGAUGAAGUAUAGGGUCUGACGCCUGCCCGGUGCCGGAAGGUUAAGGAGAGAUGUGAGAGCAUUGAACUGAAGCCCCGGUAAACGGCGGCCGUAACUAUAACGGUCCUAAGGUAGCGAAAUUCCUUGUCGGGUAAGUUCCGACCUGCACGAAUGGCGUAACGACUUCCCCGCUGUCUCCAACAUAGGCUCAGCGAAAUUGAAUUCUGAGUUAAGAUGCUCAGUACCCGCGGUUAGACGGAAAGACCCCGUGAACCUUUACUAUAGCUUUGCAGUGGUAUUAGGUAAGACAUGUGUAGGAUAGGUGGGAUGCUAUGAAGGUAGGACGCUAGUUUUACUGGAGCAGACGUUGAAAUACCACCCUUGUGUUAUUUGAUAUCUAACCUACUUCCGUAAACCGGAAGAGGGACCCUGCAUGGU